rnacentral:rRNA from 1 species
UACGGAGGGGGCAAGCGUUGUUCGGAAUUAUUGGGCGUAAAGCGUAUGUAGGCGGCUAGGUAAGUCAGGCGUGCAAGCCCGUGGCUCAACCACGGAAUUGCGUUUGAAACUGCUUAGCUUGAGUACAGGAGAGGAAAGCGGAAUUCCCAGUGUAGCGGUGAAAUGCAUUGAUAUUGGGAAGAACAUCUGUGGCGAAGGCGGCUUUCUGGUCUGUUACUGACGCUGAGAUACGAAAGCCAGGGGAGCAAAGGGG